CCCAGAUUGAGAAGAACGGAUCCGUAGCAACUGCCACCGCUCCUCCCUUCCCCUCCGUGCGCUGCCAUCUCAUCCACCCCGAGUCGACCCCGCCUCCGGUCGCGGCCCACUCUCCUGCAAGCUGCGACGACAUCCUCGCCGAUCAACGACGGCGACGACCGGAUUUCCCACGCUGCCAUGGCUAAGACACACCGCGCAUUCGCCCCACUUCCCAGCAAACGCCGCCGCCCCUUCCCUUCCGAUCCACCCCGACUAAACCUGUCGCCACCACGCACGCGAGCCACAGCAGGGACGCGCGAGGAGGAGUUGCGGCUUCCUCCGGGCACACACGUGCCGUUGCAGACGGCCUCUCCUGGAGCGUCGGUCGCCGUCGCCGCCUGCCGCUCGGCUUCUACCCCACAGGCGCCACGUCCAGGAACUCCCCUCCGCCGCUGCCGGGUGGGUCAAAAUCACUGCUAUCGCCGUGUCCCGCCCCGUUCCGUUCAUGCUCCGACGCGAUCCUGAUGCCUCUGCACAAAUCCUUUUCUGUACGGAGUAUUGGCCAUCGGAUUUGGACUCUGGGAGCUUUCAAUCGUGGAUGCUUGUUUCCGUACGGAGUAAUGACAUUUUUUAACUGACGGAUUGAUCCAUGUAAUUAGGUUUCUAGCCCAAUCUUUCCAUAUAGUUGUAUCUGACUUAUACUGAAUUCUUUAGUGUCACUGUAUAUAAUAUAGAUAUUCAUGUACUGUUCGAAUGUCCGGUCAAUGUCUGGUCUAUGUACAACCCUCUAAAAUUCUUUUAUAGCUAGACAUGUCUGAAACAUCAUUUGUCAAGACACACUGUUAGUUAAUCAAUUUAGUCUGAAACAUCAUUUGUCAGAACACAAUGACUUGCAGGUGUUAAGAUGUUAAAACAAAAUUAUUUGCACAUGCAUGCAGGUUUGUAAGUUCAAAAAAUAGUAUCAUACUGAAACGGGGCAACAACAUUAUGCUUAGGACAUGAAACAUGGACAACCCAUUUUUAGUGGCAAUACUUUGUGUAAUCAAACAACAUAGGAUCACUCUGCACCAAGCAGAUGGUAGUUCUAGCGGAGGAUGCACCAGGAGAAUCAACCAAGCAGAAUUAAGCACCAUAAUUUUCUAUGUACACACUUUGCUGUAAAAGAUUUUGUACAUGACAAUGAAAAGGUUGAAUAUGAAUAGAUUGGCAAGGCAAAAAUCUUUGGUGUCAAUACUGACAAAUAAAGCAGCCUAUCAUGAAAAUGAGACAUCUUUAUUGUCAAGUUUAUAGUCAUCAAGUGGUCCUACAUUUCCUGAUUGUUUGUGUGUUCCCGCUUGAUUUGUGUACCACAAUAGAUAAUCUGAUUUUGCUUUAUCCGAGGAUUUGUCCCAGUUCAACUCAGCAUUUUACCAACAUCAGAUCUCUCUGUGGUCCUUUGAUCAUAGUUUUAUUUGCUUUUAUGCACCAGGUUUAUCAUUUAGCAUUUCUCAUUCAUUGGCCCUUAAAACAUACUCCCUCCGUCAGGAAAUACUUGUCUUCAAAAUGGAUAAAAGAAGAUGUAUCUAGAUGUAUUUUAGUUGUACAUACAUCUCUUUUUAUCCAUUUUGAUGACAAGUAUUUUCGGAUGGAGGGAGUAUAUUAGGAAUUUAGGAUUGUUGAACUUAUAAGCAUUGAUUGCAGGAUUGUCUCUAGGUGCAAUAGUCGAUCAAGCACGUGCAGUUUUUGAGAGUGAAGUCAGAAGAAUAGCUUCGUACUACUUCUGUGGUUGAGGUUUCAACAGAUUGAUUUCAACAGAGGGAUGCUGGUGCAGUGACCAUAUCUAUGGUAAGGCAUAUGGAGUAAAAUUAAGGGUUGAUACCUUUUUUGUUCUACUGAAAUUUUACCCGUAUAAAGAAACUUCGUAUCAUAUACUAAGAGGAGAAAUUUUAGUCUUCAGUUCCAGACAUUUAACAGUGAUCUGAGAGGUUCUAGACUGGACUACAAACUAAUCUCAGCUAUGUCUGAAUGUAGUGCAAGGAAUUUUGCUUCUUGCAGCUGCAGGACCAUGCGAUGUCGAACACGAAAAGGACACACCAAGGUCCCAGCCAAGUCAGUGAUGUUGCCCCGACUCCCUAUUUCUUCAGCUUGAGGAAGCUGUGGCAGCCUGACUCUCUCUGCCUAUUGUCAUCCUAUCUGACCUGCUACUAGGCAACUACUACUACUCACGCUUGAUAGAUGCUGUGUUGCAUACGACUGAGCAGUCUCGGCUAUACUUCAACCCAGACAUCAACGAAGCAAAUAACUUGAUUAUAUGGUUCAGGGAGCUCCGGCGCUUGCUCCGAGCAAAGAAGUCUUUCUUGAACUAUGCUCUCCUAAACCUGAAUGAACCAGACGUGGGAAGACAACUGAGUUUCGGUUGUGGUGUUUCAACAUGAGUUUCGAGUGUUAAUGCUCUGGUGAUGCGAGGAGGUGAAGCUGUAUGCUACCAGAUCGCAGAUAUUUCUUGGUAUAUAUGCAUUUAAAGAAAAGAUGGAUGUGUGUGUGUGACUGUGAUAGAUGGUUCUACUGGUAUCUUGUUGGAUAUAUAACAAGAAGCGUUGGCAAGACAGACAUCCACUUUUUAAGUGGCAUCAUAGUGGGCUGAGAACUUGUUGAUGAAGCCAAUGAUUGGGUUGACUGUAGUGAUAGGGCAUUAGACGUAAUGCUAGAUGUAACCCCAGACAAUCCAUGAGACCACAGUUCGACUC